CUGCUUUUCUUUUUUAAUUUCAUUUUUAUGCAGGAAAAUGAUGUCACCGCUCGUUUCUUAGACACUGGACAAGUGGACAAGUCCAUGUCAUGGCCCACACCAGGAACCAGGCUUAAAAGGACCUGAAGUACAGUAAAGAAUAUUUAAUGACAGUAGACACUCAUCUCACACCAAAUGUUAAAAAACAUGAUUGUGAACUUUGAAGACCCAGGGCUCUACCAAAAGAAUCCUGCUCAGCCUGGCUUGAUCUGUCACUACAGAGUUAUCACAGGUCACAAGGUCACUUUUUAGGUUAAUAUGCUCAUCUCAAACCUUCCACAAUUGUGUGUGAUAUACACAGUCGACAUACUUCAUAUAUACAACAUGGAUAGAUCAACAGACUUCAAACUUGGGAGAACAGGUCCACUGUUCCAAAAUGCAAACCUUCCUUCUGUUCGGAAUUAAGAUAUUCAACCUCCUUAUCCUGGUGUAUGUUUUUCCCGAGUCCAUCUGUUUAGUUAGUGUAUGACCUUCAAGUGCUCUACUUUAUUUAGGGGCCACAGCUCCAAAGCUGUGCUUCACAUACACUCAAGACUUGCUCUCCUAUGAUUAUGAAGGAACAAAAAUUCAGGAGCCUGAGUUCUAGAGAUCAGCAAGUCUAUUCUCCAUCACUGGGGAAUCAGUUACGUGCUUACAGGACUGGCCUUCAGUUUCCUCUGAGUUUGGCUGUGUGGAUUUCCCUCAAUUUCUUGUAGGUUUACUUUUAAAAGGAUUCACAUCCUAACUUGAAUUUCUGGAUAUCUUUUUGUGAAAUAAAAUCUUUCACCUGAAAAGAACUGUAAGCCACAUGGUUUUAUAAAAGACAAUGUCACCAGUGUGGUGGCUUAUGUCUGUAAUCUCCAUAGUC